AACAAGCGCAUGAUAAGGAACUAGUGUAUUGUGGUAUGCUCGCAUACACAUUGCUUAGUAUAUAAACCCAGACCUCUCUGCAUUGAAAGAGAGGUGCCAUUUUGAAUAGGGUACAAGUGACCGUGAGAGAGAACUAGAGGGAAAGCACUAGAAUAACAGAGGAUUUAAUUCUUCACACCGUUGUUGCAGCUGGUGCUAAGCUUGGUGAGGACAUCCCUGGACAUUACUUAAGAAAAGGAGUCUGUGGGGAUUGUUCUGAGCUGUUUUUGCCUUGGCGAACCUCUGGGACUCUGGCAGCCUGGGAGCUUUCCUUGGUGUGAAGGAAAGCAGUGCUCUUCCAAUGCCACUUGAAAAGGAGCUUGCUGAAGAACAAGAGGAAAAUAACAAAAGGGCUUUAGUAGCAGUAUGGCUCAGCAAGACAGCAACAGCAGGGAUUGGAAUUGCUCAGUACUGGUUGUUCAGUGCUUCCAACAGUGACACUGGACCUGAUGAAAGGAGCUUCUAUAACUAACCAACAGCAACAAUCGCCAAAAGUUCUGAGAGCUCAGGGGGGUGGUUUCAUCUACACCAUGAUGUCUAUGAGACUCAGGGACUAUCUUGUUCAAGGAAGAAGGUAGAAGGAACUGUAAUGAAAAUGUUAGAAUUAAGAUAUUUAAGGAUGUCUUAAUUGUUGUUCAGUUUUACUAAAGCUGUUCAGGCUGUGUCCAUGCAUGCAACAAAAACAAAUGCAUAUGUGGGAGGAAAGUGAUUGUGACAGCAAUGGCACUCUUUAUCUAGACAAGUUUAUUAUACUCUUUGUCACUGAAAGAUGACAGAAGAUUUGUGAAUCAACCCACCAUUUCCUGGACAUUUGUUCUAGAAUGCUCCACUUUGGGUCCUAUUGCCUUGGGGACAGAACUCAGCAAGCACUAGGAUCCAAGUGGAGCAUUCUAGAACAAAGAAGGUCCAGGAACUGGCAGAUUAAUUCACAAAUCUCCUGUCAUCUUUUGGUGAGAAAGAGCAUAGAUGGUUUUCAAAGUCCCUGUGUAUGAACAAAUGUUACAUGCCUCAGGUUGUCUACAUGACUGAGACCCCUGCGUUCUUCAAAGGUUUUAGUCAUCAGGGUUGCCAUAUUCAUUCUCCAACUCCAGGUGACAUAAUUUGUAUAUUAUUCAUAUUGUUUGCUAAUGAUGCAAAUCAAGCACAAUUCUUUUAACACGCAAAAAAGCUUUUGAUGACACAAAGUAGUUGAAUACCCCAACUAAAUAUAGUUCAGUUUACUUGACAUCUUCUCCCUUCCUGCAUGAAA